AUUGAACGCUGGCGGCAGGCCUAACACAUGCAAGUCGAACGGUAACAGGAAACAGCUUGCUGUUUCGCCGACGAGUGGCGGACGGGUGAGUAAUGUCUGGGAAACUGCCUGAUGGAGGGGGAUAACUACUGGAAACGGUAGCUAAUACCGCAUAACGUCGCAAGACCAAAGAGGGGGACCCUCGGGCCUCUUGCCAUCGGAUGUGCCCAGAUGGGAUUAGCUUGUUGGUGGGGUAACGGCUCACCAAGGCGACGAUCCCUAGCUGGUCUGAGAGGAUGACCAGCCACACUGGAACUGAGACACGGUCCAGACUCCUACGGGAGGCAGCAGUGGGGAAUAUUGCACAAUGGGCGCAAGCCUGAUGCAGCCAUGCCGCGUGUAUGAAGAAGGCCUUCGGGUUGUAAAGUACUUUCAGCGGGGAGGAAGGGAGUAAAGUUAAUACCUUUGCUCAUUGACGUUACCCGCAGAAGAAGCACCGGCUAACUCCGUG
rnacentral:rRNA from 1 species